ACGGUAUGUGGAUAUUACGUGAUGAAAUACAUGCUUGAAAUUCUUUCCAAAGAAGCAUGCGAGGGAAUGGAUAAGACAUUGGAGAGAGUUUGUU